GGCCUCUUAGCAUAGAUGGCAGUGCGUUCCCCUAGUAAGGGAAAGGUCGUGGGUUCGAUUCCCGCAGAGGCCU
rfam:Entamoeba histolytica HM-1:IMSS scf_1104750517373 genomic scaffold, whole genome shotgun sequence.